UACGAAGGGUGCUAGCGUUGUUCGGAAUUACUGGGCGUAAAGCGCGCGUAGGCGGCUUGCCAAGUCAGGGGUGAAAUCCUGGGGCUUAACCCCAGAAUUGCCUUUGAAACUGGCAAGCUGGAGUGUCGGAGGGGAUAGCGGAAUUCCUAAUGUAGAGGUGAAAUUCGUAGAUAUUAGGAGGAACACCGGUGGCGAAGGCGGCUAUCUGGACGACAACUGACGCUGAGGCGCGAAAGCACGGGGAUCAAACAGG
rnacentral:rRNA from 1 species